rnacentral:rRNA from 1 species
UGCCAGCCGCCGCGGUAAUACGGAGGGAUCUAGCGUUGUUCGGAAUUACUGGGCGUAAAGGGCGCGUAGGCUGUAUGAUUAGUCAGAGGUGAAAUCCCUAAGCUCAACUUAGGAACUGCCUUUGAUACUGUUGUACUAGAGAAUGAGAGAGGUGAGUGGAAUUCCAAGUGUAGAGGUGAAAUUCGUAGAUAUUUGGAAGAACACCAGUGGCGAAAGCGGCUCACUAGCUCAUUUCUGACGCUGAGGCGCGAAAGCGUGGGUAGCAGACAGGAUUAGAUA